AGUUAAUUGGAGGUUGGAGUUAUUCGGAAGUGACAGGUGAGGAGAUUUUGGAUUUUUGAAUUUGUACGAUAUGCGGAAGUUACAUUGAAUGGUGGACAGCUGUUUUUUUUUUUUUUUCCGUUCUGAUACAUGUCAUAGAAUUGGCCGUGCUACGUAUGUAUAUAUAUAAUAACAUUGGGAAGUGUACAAAAAUCAUGAUACUCUCAAAAAUGUACGACAGAAUUAUAGAAAAGAUGCAUUUCGUCUUCUCCCCUAGCCCCUAGCGAACUUGGGGAUGGAACUACAGUACAGGGCAUGAGGAGGAGUUAGCAUAAAUACAACACAUAACCACGUUGAUAUUUUACAUUCCACCGCGCUCCUCCCUGUAUUUCCGUUGGCGCCUUCCAAUACACCUAGAUCCAUCUAUAUACACAUCCAUUAAUGCUGCGUAACUGAUCAACUGCCUAAUUAACUGCCCAGGUAUAUAAAUAUAUAAAUAUAUAUAUAUAUAUAUACCGAGGUAUUUCAAGUUCACUAUCAAUCUCCCUGCUGUAUUGUGAAGUCAUCAUGUGCAUAUAUAAAGCGAAAGUGCAAAAAACGAAAAGAAGAGAAGAAAUGGUCAUUUACGCCGCGUUUCAGUCAUCAAGAAGGAAAAGAUGAAAGGGAAAUGAUAAAAGGUAGGAAGUUGUAUUUGCAGAGGGAUGAGAAGAGAAGGGAAAACAAGGGGGGGAAUAUAUCAUAUAAUUCGUUUCGUGGGCAGGUUGG
rnacentral:sRNA from 1 species